CAACUGUCAUUCUGAAAAUUCACCACAAGAUGUCGCCACAACACAAAGAGCCAAGAGGGUAGAAGCAGUACAUUGCCUAGACAUGACAGCGCUACUGGCACCAAAGAAGACAAGACAUUUCAUGGAUCAGAGGGAGGAUGACCAGGAGCAGCCGAAUACAACCAACAAACCAAUAAGAUUGGUUCUUAGCAUACCUGCAAAAUACCUAGGACAGGAUAAGGAAAACAUUCAGCAAAGAGAAGUUGAAAGGGGUAAUCCAGGAUUAGAAAAUCAGAGCUGAUUUCUUCUAAAAACUGCACCAUCUCUGUCCUAAUGUUGUGUGUGAUAUAGAAGCUCAGUUCUUCAAAAGUGAAUGUAGAAAUCUUGUAAUAUUACAUACAACAUGAGGACAGGUAUGGCGCUGUUUUCGGAAACAAAUAGCUCUGUUUUCUAUUCCCUUUUAACAAACUCCUAGGAUCCAGCAACAUUCAUCUGACGGACGGCACAGAAAUCAUGGCUUUUAAAAAAAAACACCCCAUACCAUCCAGAAGAUGAUCCUGUCUGGCUGCAACAUCAUCUUUAUCCAAGUUG